CAUUNGUUCAACUGACCCACGGACGNCNCCAUGCCCUCGAGGGGCAGCAGGCUGGUACUUCGNUACUGGUGCUGGCGACCGGCGGACGGGUGAGUAACGCGUAUGCAACCUACCUUUCACCGGGGGAUAGCUUUCGGAAACGGAAAUUAAUACCCCAUAAUAUAUCAAUAAGGCAUCUUAAUGAUAUUAAAACCACGGUGGUAAAAUAUGNNCAUGCGUAACAUUAGUUAGUUGGUGAGGUAACGGCUCACCAAGGCGACGAUGUUUAGGGGACCUGAGAGGGNGAUCCCCCACACUGGUACUGAGACACGGACCAGACUCCUACGGGAGGCAGCAGUGAGGAAUAUUGGUCAAUGGACGGAAGUCUGAACCAGCCAUUCCGCGUGCAGGAANACGGCCCUAUGGGUUGUAAACUGCUUUUCUGAGGGAAGAAUAACCCCGAGUUCUCGGGGGACACGGUCCUUANGAAUAACAUCGGCUACUCCGUGCCACCAGCCGCGGUAUACNGANGAUGCAACGUUAUCCGAAUUAUGGGGUUUAAAGGGGGCUAGGCGACUAUAAUNAGNGGGAAAUUUCCGGUCACCCGGAAUUCCNUGAACUGNACUUAAUNNGUAGGAGCNGAAUNUAUNC
rnacentral:rRNA from 1 species